ACAAGCGGUGGAGCAUGUGGUUCAAUUCGAAGCAACGCGCAGAACCUUACCAACCCUUGACAUGGGUAUCGCGGAUCCAGAGAUGGAUCUUCAGUUCGGCUGGAUACCACACAGGUGCUGCAUGGCCGUCGUCAGCUCGUGUCGUGAGAUGUUCGGUUAAGUCCGGCAACGAGCGCAACCCACACUCCUUAGUUGCCAUCAGUUCAGUUGGGCACUCUAGGAGAACUGCCGGUGAUAAGCCGGAGGAAGGUGUGGAUGACGUCAAGUCCUCAUGGCCCUUACGGGUUGGGCUACACACGUGCUACAAUGGUGGUGACAAUGGGUUAAUCCCAAAAAGCCAUCUCAGUUCGGAUUGGGGUCUGCAACUCGACCCCAUGAAGUCGGAAUCGCUAGUAAUCGCGUAACAGCAUGACGCGGUGAAUACGUUCCCGGGCCUU
rnacentral:rRNA from 1 species